UGGGGAAUCUUAGACAAUGGGGGAAACCCUGAUCUAGCCAUGCCGCGUGAGUGAUGAAGGCCUUAGGGUUGUAAAGCUCUUUCAGCUGGGAAGAUAAUGACGGUAACCGGAGAAGAAGCCCCGGCUAACUUCGUGCCAGCAGCCGCGGUAAUACGAAGGGGGCUAGCGUUGCUCGGAAUCACUGGGCGUAAAGCGCACGUAGGCGGGUCGUUAAGUCAGAGGUGAAAGCCUGGAGCUCAACUCCAGAACUGCCUUUGAUACUGGCGACCUCGAGUUCGAGAGAGGUUGGUGGAACUCCGAGUGUAGAGGUGAAAUUCGUAGAUAUUCGGAAGAACACCAGUGGCGAAGGCGGCCAACUGGCUCGAUACUGACGCUGAGGUGCGAAAGCGUGGGGAGCAAACA
rnacentral:rRNA from 1 species